rnacentral:rRNA from 1 species
GACGAACGCUGGCGGCGUGCUUAACACAUGCAAGUCGAACGGAAAGGCCCUGCUUUUGUGGGGUGCUCGAGUGGCGAACGGGUGAGUAACACGUGAGUAACCUGCCCUUGACUUUGGGAUAACUUCAGGAAACUGGGGCUAAUAACGGAUAGGAGCUCCUGCUGCAUGGUGGGGGUUGGAAAGUUUCGGCGGUUGGGGAUGGACUCGCGGGUUAUCAGCUUGUUGGUGGGGUAGUGGCUUACCAAGGCUUUGACGGGUAGCCGGCCUGAGAGGGUGACCGGCCCCAUUGGGACUGAGAUACGGACCAAACUCCUACGGGAGGCAGCAGUGGGGAAUAUUGCACAAUGGGCGGAAGCCUGAUGCAGCAACGCCGCGUGCGGGAUGACGGCCUUCGGGUUGUAAACCGCUUUCGCCUGUGACGAAGCGUGAGUGACGGUAAUGGGUAAAGAAGCACCGGCUAACUACGUG